ensembl:misc_RNA Metazoa_SRP Metazoan signal recognition particle RNA
GCUGGGUGUGGUGGUGCAUGCCUGUAGUUCCAGCUACUAAGGAGGCUAAGGCAGGAGGAUCACUUGAGCCCAGGAGAUUGAGGCUGCAAUGAGCCAUGAUUAUGCCAGUGCACUCCAGCCUGGGUAACAAAGUGAGACCCUGUCUCAA